GACAAAUCGAAAAUAAAAAAUAGACUAAAACUAGUUCCUCUUCACUUCUCACUCGGUUCUACCAUCUAUAAAUUAUAUCUGGUAAAACUUUAGAUUGGAGUUGACUAAAUAUAAUAUCUUUAAAGAAUUAAUGAUGAAAGACUUACCGAUAAAUGGCAAAACAGUCAAGCUUUUCAAAAUAUUUCGAAAAAUAUAUUUCUACUUCCGGGGUACUUCCGGUAUGGUGUACACGAAUAUUGAUGACGUACUUCACAUCCCAGUUGAGGAAAAUUAUAUUUCUAAUGAAUUUUUAGCAAUAAUCCUUGUCUCCAGGUGAUUUGCGGAAUGGACUUAUUCAACAAGCUUAAAGGAGCAGUUGCUGUAGCGAUCACAGGCAAUCCAGUCACGAAUGAAUUUGACAUAGGGCAGCAUGUUGCCAGUGGAGGCCCAGGGUUGUUAUGGCGAAUAUACAAUGGCAUAAAGCGAACAACAAAACAGGAGGUAUCAGUGUUCGUGUUUGAAAAGAAGACCAUAGAGAAAUACUCAAGAAAAGAUAAAGAUAUUAUUAUAGAGACACUUAAGAAGGGAGUGUCUCAGCUUACAAGAUUGAGGCACCCGAAGAUACUCUCCGUCUUACAUCCUUUAGAAGAAUCAAGGGACUCUUUGGCCUUUGCUACAGAGCCAGUGUUUGCCAGUUUGGCUAACAUUCUUGGACAACAUGAGAAUCUGCCUAAUCCAGUACCCUCCAAUAUAGAAAACCAUGAACUGUAUGAUGUUGAGAUCAAAUAUGGUCUUCUGCAGGUGACAGAAGGCCUCACAUUCCUACACAAUGAUGCCAAAAUUAUGCAUAGUAACAUAAGUCCAGAGACCAUAAUACUUAAUAAAAAUGGUGCAUGGAAGAUAGCCGGCUUUGAAUGUUGCAUUCCUAAUAGCAACUCACCUGAUCAGCCAGCACUGUUCUCAUUUAGGGAGUGGAAUCCAGAAUCGCCACCCAAGAUUCAGCCAAACCUGGACUAUUUGGCCCCAGAGUUCUCCCUCACAAUGUCAUGUGACACUUCCAGUGAUAUGUUCUCACUUGGCAUUGUCUUCUAUGCAAUCUUUAACAAAGGGAAGACACUGUUUGAGUGCAGGGACCAAUGGCACGCCUUCAAGAAGAAUGCCUCUGAGCUGAGAAGUGUGAAGACCACAUUCAUUCUAGGGUCAAUUCCACAGGAGGCCAAGGAACAUGUGAAGAUGCUGCUUAAUGUGGAGCCUACUCUAAGACCAGAUGCCGACCAGCUUUCCAAGAUCAAGUUCUUUGAGGAUGUAGGCUCUAUGACUCUGCAGUAUCUGGACUCACUCUUCCAAAGAGACAAUCUACAAAAGUCACAGUUCUUUAAGGGACUUCCCAAGAUUUUGACAAAAUUGCCAAAGCGAGUAUGCCUCCAGAGGAUACUGCCUUGUUUAUACUCCGAGUUUGCCAACCAUGAUAUGAUUCCAUUCCUACUGCCCAACAUCAUCUACAUUGCAGAGGAGGCUACCAAUGAGGAAUAUGUCACCCACAUAUUGCCUCACAUCAUACCUAUUUUCAAAAUAAAGGAGCCAGUUCAGAUACAAUUGAUAUUUUUGCAAAAUAUGACAUUGCUGCUUAGGAAAACACCAAGCUCUGAUGUGAAGAACCAUGUGCUUCCUAUGGUGUACAGCUCGUUAGAGGCCCCCUCCCCUCAGAUACAGGAACUAUGCCUAAACAUCCUACCAACAUUUGCCAGCCUAAUUGAAUACAGCAGUAUGAAGAAUGCAGUCAUGCCUCGUGUCAAGAAGUUAUGUCUCGGGACUAAUACUCUCUCUGUGCGUGUGAACUGUCUUAUGUGCAUAGGGAAACUUGUUGAAUAUAUGGACAAGUGGUACGUUCUAGAUGAGAUAUUUCCCAUAAUUCAACAGAUACCUUCCCGUGAACCUGCAGUCUUAAUGAGUGUGCUAGGAGUAUUUCAUGUUUGUCUAACUCAUAAAAAACUUGGAAUUACAAAGGAAGUGAUGACUAAAAUAGUCAUACCAUUACUUCUUAUGAUAUCUACAGACAAUCAAAAUCUCAACCCAACACAGGCAUCUACCAAGUGACUUUAACACAUAAAAAGCUUGGCAUUACUAAAGAUAUCCUAGCAACUCAAGUGUUACCUGCUCUAAUUGCUGUUGCUAUUGACAACAACCUUAACCUUCAACAGUUUAACGCAUUUAUGGCUGUGAUUAAAGACAUGCUUUCUAGAGUAGAGACAGAACACAGGACAAAGUUGGAACAAUUAGACAGCAUGCAGAAAGAACAGAAGUCACUCCAGUUUGGCAAAGUGGAUAUGCCAAAUGGCGUUACCACAGCAGCUGAUCAACCACAGUCCGAUUCAAUGAUGGACAAGUUCUUAACUGGGUUUGGAAUGUCAGGACUGUUUAGUGGAGGGGGAAACAAAGCAGCAGAGCCAAUACAGAAGUCAGCAAGUAAUACUAGUCAACCAGUAACACAGGAGAGUUCACAAUCUCCUGCUACCAUACAGAAAUCUGGCAAGAGCCAUCUGAGCAUGGAGGAGAAGCAAAGAUUAGCACGUGAGCAAGAACAACAGAUACGUCUAAAGUCACAAGGCCCACUUCAACCCAAGAAGGAUAUUAAAACAGUUAAGCCAGCACAAACUAAAGACCUUAGUGCCACAUUAUAUAAAACAAACAUUGCACCCCCUCAUGCUAAACCAACAAUGGGAAUCAGCAUGGAUGAUAUGAGCAAUACUAGGGGAUCUAGUAUGACUGCAAACAGAAAUAAUGGAUCAAAUAAAAUGGGAGGUACUGGUCCUAGCAGCGGAACUUUGCAACCUUCAAUACAGCCCCAAGUGUCAAAAUGGAGUGGACAAACUAGUGGAAAAAGUAUUGACACAUCUGCAUUUGACAUUUUAGUACCAAGCACAUCCCAUUCAAAAGUAGCAAUGAAUCAAAUGCAGUCAUCGAACACAGGACAGAAAAUGUAUGGCGAUGGUAUGCAGCAGGGAUUUAUGGGAAAUCAAAUGAUGAGUAGUCAAAAUACUAUGAGUAGUCAACCAAUAGGGAAUGUAGGUGUGAUGGGAAAUCAAGGAAUGAUGG
rnacentral:misc_RNA from 1 species